ACGACGCUGGCGGCGUGCCUAACACAUGCAAGUCAAGGAGAAUUCCGACUUGUCGGGAUAGUAAACUGGCGAACGGGUGAGUAACACGUAGGUAAUCUACCCUCGGGAUCGGGAUAACCUCGCGAAAGUGGGGAUAAUACCGAAUAAAGUCUUGGUAUAAUUUGUCGAGAUGAAAGAUGGGGAUCUUCGGACCUAUUACCUGAGGAUGAGCCUGCGCCUGAUUAGCUAGUUGGUAGGGUAAAUGCCUACCAAGGCAACGAUCAGUAGCUGGUCUGAGAGGAUGAUCAGCCACAUUGGGACUGAGAUACGGCCCAGACUCCUACGGGAGGCAGCAGUGAGGAAUUUUGCGCAAUGGGCGAAAGCCUGACGCAGCAACGCCGCGUGACUGAUUAAGCUCUGAGGAGUGUAAAAGUCUGUCGUAGAGGAAGAAACUAUCCGAUAAGAAUAUUGUCGGAUACUGACGGUACUCUAUGAGAAAGCUCCGGCUAACUCCGUG
rnacentral:rRNA from 1 species